CACGUAGGAGGCAAACGUUAUCCGGAUUUACUGGGCGUAAAGCGCGUGUAGGUGGUUCUGUAAGUAGGGCGUGAAAGCUCCCGGCUCAACUGGGAGAGGCCGUUCUAAACUGCAGAGCUAGAGGAUGGUAGAGGGAGGUGGAGUUCCAGGUGUAGCGGUGGAAUGCGCAGAUAUCAGGAGGAACACCAAUGGCGAAGGCGGCUAUCUGGACAACAACUGACGCUGAGGCGCGAAAGCGUGGGGAGCAAACAGGAUUAGAUA
rnacentral:rRNA from 1 species